AUUGAACGCUGGCGGCAGGCCUAACACACGCAAGUCGAGCGAGCGGCGGACGGGUGAGUAAUGCCUAGGAAACUGCCUGAUGGAGGGGGAUAACUACUGGAAACGGUAGCUAAUACCGCAUACCAUCAGAUGUGCCCAGAUGGGAUUGGCUAGUGGGUGGGGUAACGGCUCACCUAGGCGACGAUCCCUAGCUGGUCUGAGAGGAUGACCAGCCACACUGGAACUGAGACACGGGCCAGACUCCUACGGGGGGCAGCAGUGGGGAAUAUGGCACAAGGGGCGCAAGCCUGAUGCAGCCAUGCCGCGUGUGGGAAGAAGGCCUUCGGGUUGUAAAGCACUUUCAGCGGGGAGGCGUUACCCGCAGAAGAAGCACCGGCUAACUCCGUGCCAGCAGCCGCGGUAAUAC
rnacentral:rRNA from 1 species